AUGGUACUUCCUCCGUCCGGAAAUACUUGUCAUCAAAAUGGAUAAACAGAGACGUAUCUAGACGUAUUUUAGUUUUAGAUACAUCUUUUUUUAUCCAUUUUGAUGACAAGUAUUUUCGGACCGAGGGAGUACUAG
rfam:Triticum aestivum genome assembly, contig: Triticum_aestivum_CS42_TGACv1_scaffold_130080_2BL